CUCUAGAACAUACGUCUUCACCCACUCGCCACGGUUAGCGUCUGCCGUACGGAGCUAGCAGAGGAACGCUUCUAGCAUUAAGGAAUUUCUGCUAAGUGUUUUUUUUCUAGUAUAAGGUAUUGGACAGAAUGGUAUAUAUGAGAUGUACGUGCAGACAAGGGAUGUCAGUGUGUUUCUGGGCUGUUUGUCUGUCCCUAAGUUUACUGUGGAGCAGUCAGGUGACUCGGGCAGCCAUCUACAGACAAUCAGGUAUCUGCAUGUACAAAGAGGUUCAGUCCCAGCCUGGUCAAACAUUCUACAGAGGGUGUGACAAGUGCUUCUGCCAUGAAACUGGCUACACCUGCCUCUCCCCAAUGAAGCCUACCUCAUGGCCAAGAAAGUGCAAAAGGAUUCCAACAGCAUGUGGCUACAAUGUUGUCUAUAAGGAGUAUCCAGAGGUGGAGUGUCGAGCCUACAGCUGGAUUUGGUGACGGGAAUGACACUGCAGCAACCCCGCUAUCCGAAAUAACACUAAUUUUGCAGUGGAUGUCAAAGGAGCUUGUUCUAAAUUGAGUGUUUUUAAUCUAAAUUGUUUUUGUAUGGAAGACCAACGUGAUAACAAAUCAAAUAACAAAUCAAUGUAACACAUUUUGUUUUUCACAACAUUACCAAUUGUUAUAUCCCAUGGCCUAUUUAUUCAUAGUUUGAUGGUGACUUUUAACAUAUUAUCAAAUAUUAAUUGAAGAUGUCUUCCUUUUUGAGUACUUUGGUUCUCAAUGUAUUUGGAGAAGACCACUGUAGAACAGUCUCAACCCUUGCUAAGUUUCCUAUUCAUGUUUCCUCACCUGAGAUGUGCACUCUGACAGUUCACUAUCCAACUGAAGCAACUGAACAUUUAGCUACAUGUGGAUUUCAUAGUAAUUUUUAGGCCUUUUGAUCCACAAAUGAUGUCAAUACCAUUUGACCUCAACGAAGCAAUAAAAGAAGGCCUGGUCGCUUUUAACAUUACAGUGCAGUGUAACAGUACACUGUGGCUUUGGUCCAAUGGUAAUUCUCUAAAAGGAGUUCAGCCUUCUCUGUGACACAAGCGGGUGGUAUCACAGAACGCUAGUUUUCCAGAGUUGGAAGAUGGAGCCCAACAUUCUCUCACCCACUUACAUGCAGCUUUGAAAAAUCGUACUUGUGUAAGUCUGUACAGCUAUGGCACAAAAUGCUGCAACUUUUGUGCUUCAAUUUACUUUGUAUUUUUUAUAUUUUCUUCAUAAAGUAUUUGAAAUGAAACAACAGUGGUAGUGUGAACCUGAUUGAACUGAAAUCUGUUUAAAACAACAAAAUGGCGAUAAGGAGGUCUACAUGCAGUGAUUUGUCCACAAAUGAAAACUCAAAACUACAGUUUUCAAAAUACAUUGCCAUCAUGAGUAUUUUAUUAUCAAAAUGGAUUACAUCUGUUCUGAGUUUUAUCUUUUGGGGGGGGGGGGGGGGGGUCCAAAUUGUUUCUACUAUGCUCUGUAAAAAAACUGAACAGAAUCAACAAAGAAAAUUUAAUGUCAUCAAAAUAAAAAACUAAAAAAAAGCAUAUGCAACAUCUAGUUUUGCAUGGACUCCAAGGAUGAGCAAAACCAGACCCUCUGAACAGAUUUGAACAUUAGAUCCCAACCACCAGUCAGUUGGUCAAUCAGACCCAAAAAAGAAAUAUCAUGCGGCAAAUGAAGUGUACUAUAUUUCUUCUUACAUGUUUAUAACACAUCUUUUUUUUAUACAAGUACUUUUGGUUGUACAUAUGGUUGUUUUUGUUGAGCCAAGUUUUAUUUGUUUAAUUAAGGUGCUGGUAAAUUUGGGUCAUAAAUUCCUCUUGAAGUCCUCUGUUAAACAUUCAUGUAACAAGUGAGUACCCUUAUGUCGAUGGUUGGUGGAAGAGGGUUGGCAGGGGGCCAGACAAGUGUCCUGUUGGCUAAAAACAGUGAGUGCCUCUGUCCCCAGCCUUUAUGCUCUCCCUUUGUUGUUUCCUAGGAUGACAGACAUACACUCCUCACUGCCAAAUGGUAGGGUCCAAAAUUAAUUUGUAAAUUAGGUCCACUUUUCCAUGUUUCAUUGCCAGGAGAAUCUCCGUCUCCCAGUGCAUACACAAUGUCAUUUACGUUGUCUAAAAGUUCCACUGCAGUGGUCAUGGCACAUGACUGUAAUUAUUCUCUCUUGAUUCGUGAUGACCCUUAUAAAAAAUGAGGGUACAGCAUUCUGUGAAAAGGGAAAGUUCUCAAAGCAGCACUUGGAUAAAAAGAAAACAAACAAGGAGAACACAGCAGCUUUUUCUUUUUUAUAUAUACUGUCCAAACCAUCCUGCCCGUCUCCCCCCUAUCCUGUACUCUUAGGUGGCAUACGGAAUGCAAGGAUUGGUCAGAAGAAGAGAAAAAUAUAUAUCUUCUCAAUACAUUUUCCAAUAAAAUGUUAUCCUAAGGAUUCAAAUAGAAGACCCAUCAAGAGUAAGGACAAUUAAAUCAUAUUCUGCUUCUUAGCGCCAUUUUCCCCUGCAUUCCAGCACAAUAAUAGGUCUGUACUUUUACAAUGAUGACACGGGAAGAAAAAAAAUCUAAAUCUCACGUAAAGUUCGUUCUAAAUGCUCAUGAAGAGCGUAACUGGAUUGCAAAUAAAAUCAUAUAUAUUUAUUUUUUCAAAACAUGACUGUCUGCAGCACCAUGAAUUACAAGACCUGUACGUCUCAAGUACAAUAUAGUAAAUCUACUAUGAAGUAGUACUAGGCAAAAUAAAAACUGAAAAAAGGAGGGACAGUGUGUAAAAAAAAAAGAACAAAAAGGGGAAAACAAAGAAAUUAUUGAGAGAUAAAAGUUAAAUACAGGUAAAGAAUCUUCGAUAAUUGGCUACAUUUGAAAGGUAGCUGGAAAUCAUAUGGAAUGAACUAAUUAUGGUACUCUUGGACUCCCGAGCCCUAAGAUGCAUCUUUAUAACGGAUGAUAAACACAUAAGCUCUAGCUCGUAUUUGUUUCCCCUUUCCAACUGAAACACUUAUACUGCAGGACAGACCUGGCUGUUUGCCAAAUCAAAAAAACUGACAGAAACACAAAUCAGCUUGAGAAUUUGUCAAACCAGGUACCAAAACAACAGGUACACUUCUUUUUUUCCUUAAACUUUAUACAGAUACUUAGUCAACGUUACUUGUUGCCUGUUUACAGUCCGUACAGAGCAGGAAAACCAAGGGCAAUUUCAAAUGACACAUGAUUUCUUUAAUAAUAAUAAAAAAAAAACGUUUACAUUGCUUUAUCCAUUGAUUCACUGUUGUCAAAUGUCAAAGUCCUUGAUUUUUUAUGUGCAGAAUGCAGUAAUUCCUUUUUGGAGAAAAAAAAAAAGAACAGAGAAAAAAAAGAAAAGAAA